UCAUUUCCGAUUAAAAGCUCUACUUCCGAAAGGGCGCACGUUUUUCUGCCUCUCUCUUUUCCUUGAGAACGCCAUCAUGGGUCGCAUGCACGCUCCUGGCAAGGGCCUGUCCCAGUCUGCACUUCCCUACAGACGCAGUGUGCCCACCUGGCUGAAGGUUACAUCUGAUGAUGUCA